rnacentral:rRNA from 1 species
CGCGUAGGCGGUUAGAUCAGUUGGGUGUGAAAGCCCCGGGCUCAACCUGGGAACUGCAUUCAAUACUGUCUGACUGGAGUAUGGGAGAGGGCAGUGGAAUUCCAUGUGUAGCGGUGAAAUGCGUAGAUAUGUGGAGGAACACCAGUGGCGAAGGCGACUGCCUGGCCCAAUACUGACGCUGAGGUGCGAAAGCGUGGGGAGCGAACAGGAUUAGAUACCCUGGUAGUCC